ACACGUUAGAAUAAAGAAGAUGGAUGCCCUGUGGGAAAUAGGGAGUUAAUAAAAAUCUUUAAGCAGAGGAGUCAGAUAUUAAAAUGAAAGCUUUUGGAACCCUGGAAAUGGUAUAAAAAUGGGUGAAUUGGAGCUCAGAGGGGAGCAAUCCGGAAGUGACAAGGAGUGACUUUGGGAAUGGGCGCAGUCACAUCAGCGUGCCUCAGUGUAAUAUACUACUCAUUUCCUAUAUCCAAGUCAAUUUCAUUCUUUCUCCCUGUGAUCAGAUGUUCCCUACCAACAUUUCAGAGGAAGAGUUUCUAUCAUUUACUUUACACUGAAGACAGAAUUCCUGUUGGUGACUUAGAGAGAAGCAUCUUGUCUGAUCUGCCUCUCUGGAAUGAAGAGAGAAUGGAAGAGCAAAGUUAUCCUUCUGGGGACCCUUUGUAGUAUGUGGAGCUUGAGGACAAUUAUAUAUAGCACCUUAUGGCUUGCUAGGUAUCGUCAGCUGAGGUGUUAGACACACGAGAAAAACCAUCUUGGGCUUUCUAGCUCCAGUCUAGAUACAAGUUGAAUGGAGUUCAUGAAUAUCCCCAUCCAACACCAUAAGCAGCAGAAAAUUGCCUCUGAUGGGCUCAGACAACCUAUAUGAUGGUGAGAAAUAAUAAAUUAUUGUUGCUUUAUACUGCUAAGUUUGAU
rnacentral:lncRNA from 1 species